rnacentral:rRNA from 1 species
AGCAGCCGCGGUAAUUCCAGCUCCAAUAGCGUAUAUUAAAGUUGUUGCAGUUAAAAAGCUCGUAGUUGAAUUUCGGGAUCAGUAGGUCGGUCGUGCCACUGGUAUGCACUGGCCUCACUGGUUCCUCCUUCCUGAUGAACCGUAAUGCCAUUAAUUUGGUGUUGCGGGGAAACUGGACUGUUACUUUAGAAAAAAUUAGAGUGUUUAAAGCAGGCUAACGCUUGAAUACAUUAGCAUGGAAUAAUGAAAUAGGACGAUCGAUCCUAUUUUGUUGGUUUCUAGGAUUGACGUAAUGAUUAAUAGGGAUAGUUGGGGGCAUUAGUAUUCAAUUGUCAGAGGUGAAAUUCUUGGAUUUAUUGAAGACUAACUACUGCGAAAGCAUUUGCCAAGGAUGUUUUCAUUAAUCAAGAACGAAAGUUAGGGGAUCGAAGACGAUCAGAUACCGUCGUAGUCUUAACCAUAAACCUAAUGACCGACUAGGGAUCGGAUGAUGUUUAAUUUUUUAAUGUACUCAUUCGGU